GGGUCAGUUACCACUCACUCCAGUAGCUACUGUAAAAAUAGAUCAGAUAAGAGCUUAUUGUAACAUUUGAUGAUAAGCCUCAGUUUUUUAUUAUUUAUACAGUCCCAUAAGUGUAAAUGAAGCUUAAGCAGCUUAUGAAAGACAAAGUCCCUUCACACAAAGAGUUUUAAAAAGGAAGGCUUGAGAUCAGCUAUAGAGAUAUCGACAUGAAGCACGUGUAGAAUUGAAUUAAAAGUUACAUCAUCACUAAAAGUGGCCUGUCACGCAAGCUGCUGCUGAAUGAUUCAGGCAAACUCAGUGAGGUGAGGCAAUGGCAAGACCUACACUUUUCACUCAGGGACAUCUAUAUUCAUCUAAUUGAUCACUCUACCCUGCUUACUACAUCUGUUCCAGAAGCUUUUCAUCUACCAUCCUCAAAUCUGCAAAAGCUCCAAACGAAAACAACAACCCAAAGAAAAACACAACAAAAAUACCAACUUUGCAUUAGUAAGUCAACUUGGAUCAGAUCCAACUCUGCAAAGAGAGAGGCGGUCUUGCUCUGCCUGUAUGACAGCUCUACAAUUUUGCUGCCUCGUUGCAUUCCAGCUGGAAAAGGCAUAAUUCUUAACCCACAACAGAACACGAGCCACACCUAGCAGAGCAUUAACCAUAUUGGUAUGGUAUGGUAUGGUAGGUAUCACCAGGUGGUACCAUUACUCAUAGCCUUUCAAGUUCUAUUUCUUAGGACGACAUGUUGUGUGGUGUUCUUUGUUUAUGCAUUGUUCUGUGAGGAGGCAGUGGUCCUUUAGAGAAAGGUGUGGGGGCAGGACAGUUUGAGCUCUGCCUUAGUCUCUUCUUGGAGUCAAUUAGUGCUGUCUAGACAUUAGUGUUGAGCUCAGAUUACUGAAAGAAGGGAUUGCUCUGAAUGCAGUUUGCCCAACUCUGUUCUAGGAUUGGGGGUAGCGAUGUGUGCAUAAAUAAAACAAGUUACACUUAGACUAUACUCGGGGUGUGUGCAGGAAUAAAAACUGACGGCGUUCAGAGCAGCAUGUUCUGGGGCCAGAGGAGAUCAGCCUUCCCGCCACGCCCCGGGGCCCAAGGAGCUCUAUACCCCUGCCAUGGCCCCGGGGGCGUUCUGUGCCCCUGCCGAUUAUUGGGAGGGCCCAUGCCCCUGCUUGCCCCCCUCCUUGUGUGCGCCCCUCACUAAACCAGAUUUGUAUAAUUUAUUUCUCCUCCAUUGGAAAGCUAGAUAAAUGGCCCCAAACAAACUGCUAACACGCAGAGGGGAAAUGCAAGUGUCAUAAUAGGACAUGACUAUCAGAAGGGGCAACAAUAUGAUACAAUCUAACAAACUAAACACUUUAUCUACUUGCCUAAAACAAGUACAAGAACCUCAGAUAACCAGAGAUAAAUCAGACAACCAGAGAUAAACUGGUCCUAACACUUCCCUUACAGAACUGGUGUAAAAAAUAACAAAACCCAUCUCUUCCUAGGAAUAGGGCACCAGUGUCAGACUGUGCUUUCUAUGUUGAAAUACACUAGGGGUAAUAAGAGAGCAUGGCAAUGAGGCUACAUAUACCAAGGAACAGAGAUCCUUUGUUUGAGGCAACAACUUUUCUGAAUUUGCCAUGGCAGGUAUGUGAUUAUAUGCGGAAAUAAUUGUAUCUGAAAACCUCUGAGUAUCUUUCUACAGAUUUUUCUAAGCAUUAAGGACCCUUUACUCAAAUACCAACAUGGUAGAUUAUAAUUACUGCCACACAAUGAGGAAGCUGCUCAUCAAUUUGUAUGAGUAUCAGGUAUUCUCCAGGCUGAUAGAGCAGGAGAUGAAUUAGACUAGCUCACCAGCUGUUUUAAGUUGUUCUCCUAGUUCAAAUUCCAGGUGUUGUGAAUAGUGUUGCAAAAAAGUGUACGUACACUCCCUUUUCAUUUCUGUUUGUCUUGCAUCUGUUUAUUUUAUAUACCCCUCAUGAUUUGACUGUGUUAAUGUUUCUGGUGUACUUAAAUGGAGCUACAAUAGGAACUACUCUGUCAACAAUUCGCUGAUUCAAUUUUAACAUUUACUGUGGCAAUAACAUACACCUAAGGAAUUACUGCAAAAUAAUAGAACUAACUUUCAUGAGUCCUUAAGGUUGCAGUUCAAUGAUUUCCACAGUGCGCUUUAUGUUGGCUGCAGCACUGGUAGUAAUUUUCCAUUGUGUUAACUUUAUGACUCAGCGUGGCACAUGUUACACCACUGAUCCUCAUGCUGCUAUAUAAGGUGGCUUUGUAUUUUCAAAUGUUCAGCAUAAUGCUGCUGGAUUAACUGGUGUAGCAGGUGUGGGUAGAGUGUGAAUAUCUGAGGGGAAGAAACCCAGUUAGGUCUUCAUUAGCACAAAACUAUUAUUGCUUUCUGCUACCUGCUUCUCCAUUCCCACCUGAUCUCCUUGUCUACAGCUAAAAUAAAGUUACAGUU